CGAGCUUCAGGGCUUCAAACACAUCGUUCUGCCGCUUCCCUGCCCUUGCCUGCACCUUGCUACCUGUCCAACUCGUCUCAUUCCGGAGACCACUUUACCUGGGUUGUGAGUCCCCUGAGGUCACGGACGCGGUCUGCUGCCCCCACGGUAUCUUCCGCUGGCCUCUGACUCAGGCACGGUGCUCUGGAUUCUCUCAAUAAACAUCUACUCAAUGAGC